GUGUUGUCGAGUAGCUGCCGUCAUUUGACCCCUUUGUCUGAAGAACUGCCCCGGUUUGGACUCAGCGCCCCCUGCGGGAGCUAACGUUAGCUAACAGGAACUGUCGGCUCGGUACAAGAAAAACUUGUAUACAACCGAGGUACAGAGUCAGGACCCUCGUCUCGUAGGACGGCCGUCUCUAGGACAUCUGAGGUGGGCGUGUCGGGUGGCUCUUGGGAGAGAUCUUCAGAACAUCUGCUUACUAUGGAAAGAUGGAAUAUUUGAGCCGAUCAGCGUUCCUGCAGUAGAUGGCAGAGCCGGUGCCGAGCUCUGUGCUCCUCUGCUGGGGUCAGAGGUCAACUCCUUUCACCAGUGCAGUCUCCAGGGUGAUGGUAAACUCGUUGAGUGUGUGCAGGAUGCGGGAGAGGGAGUGUACAGCAGCACGGUCUCGCAGCAGAGCUCCUUCUUCGUAGGUCCGUGCUGUCAGGGGGAAGUCUGCCAGCAGGGGGAGCCACUGAGAGAGAAGCCGGUCCCUGCAAAGAGGAACAGAUGGAGACAGGAAACAGACAUCAGCACUUACCCACAAAGUCCCAAACAAACACGUUCCUCUGGAAAAGACGGUUCGACUUGAGCCCGUGCAGGAGGAACUUCUCCAGGGAGAGUACCAGACCUCCUUCACCGCAUAACAAGACUGUCAAGUUUCCCCUCUGAGGAGAGAGAAAGGGGAACAGGGUUAUUGAGGAAGUAAACAGGGGAGAGGAAAUGCUUGUACAUUGAAGUCUGUGCACUACAGAUGAUGUUGCAAUGAUUUGGAGGCCCAUCACAGAUAAACUAAAGAGAUCCA